CAGAAUGUGCGGCUCUAUUGCGUCCUGCCGCGAGUCUGAACGAGAGUUGCCGGAGAUCCUCGCCGGUGAAAUAGGCACCUGUCCAAGAAAACAAAAUACACCCACAAAAGCAGAGGAGAGAAUAAAAGGAAAAGUGCAGAGGUUGCCAGAAAAAUUUCCGGCGAGAACAAAAAUCCCAGACCUCUGGGCAGCCCGGGAUCUGUUGUGGUAAGCAGUGAGAAAAAUGAGGUGGCUAAGUGGACAGUAUAAAAUGAAAGUGAGCAGGGGAAUAUUCCGGAAGUACCGAGUUGGUCGGAAUUGAGGGGGGAAAAUACUGUCCAAAAGGAGCCAGUUGCAAAAGUUACCGG
rnacentral:lncRNA from 1 species